UACAUUCGCUCAUUCCUAGUCUACUCUUUGACUUUGGUUGAUACAACAAAGGAGAAAGACAUCCACGUCAGUGAUUAUUUGAUUGAAAGUGGAUUUGCUUUGCAUUGCGAAGAGGAACAAAUUGCUGUUGUCUUCGCAAAUUCUGUUUAUGGAUAUUCCACGCCGUCGCCUCCAGCUGAACACACCGGUAGAGCGCCUUCACCAAAUCCAACUUGCGCGUUUCCCUCAUCGGCAGUGAAUUCAGUUACAAGCCAGUUGCAAACAACAAGCAUCUCGAUUACGACACCGACCCUGAUUUCAAAUAACGAACAUCUUGAUUUCGAGAAUCCAUCAAUAGACGAACUGGUUCGAACAUCCAUCCUGAAGAAUAUGUGAUUGCCUCGGUGAAAGAACCCUUUCCGGUCUUAGCAUCUGAAAGAAGUUUGGAGGCUAAUGACUCAAAAUGCGUCGAUGUACUAGUUUUGAAAGACGAACGAAGGCUUUAUACAGUUGAAGAUAGUGGUGAAUUGUAUCUUCCUAAGCCUGACAUCUUGAUGCUCAUCCCGAGUCUGGAUAGUCAAAUAGCCGCCUUUAAAGCAAAGAUCGAUGCAAAGUAGUCACUGCCCAGGCGCAUCCAAAUAUCUUUGCCGAUUGCGCAAAGUAAAUAUCUUGAGCCAUAAUUUUACAUGAUUUAAAAGAAAUUCAUCUGAUUUCGUCUUUUAGCGCUGGUGCACCUUGGAUGAAAGAUGAUUCCUUUUCCUUCCAGAACUCACUCUUUAUUCACUGCAGUAUGUUUCUCUACUGUUCUUCUUGUGUUCGGUGAAAGAUAAGGUUGCUUCUUCAGCUAUUGAGGCAAAGCGAAAAGAAUUCAACAAUAAGUAAAUAAGCACAUUUUUCUUUUUAUGAUUUUCAUUGAGUGCUCAAGUUUGAGCAAUUAAUUACCUUCCAAUUCUUUAUUUUAUCUUAUAAACAAGUAUUUAAACCAGGAAAAAUCAGUUUUUAUAAAAUUGAAUCAAAACUGUCUGAACAAAA